rnacentral:misc_RNA from 1 species
UAGGGCGCGUUAAUGAUAGUGUAGCACGAGUUCCUGUGGUCGAGUUGAUAAUUGUUUGGGGCGAAAUGACCGGCCCCUUGACUACGACCUCGACCGUCAACUAUGGGGCCGGUGGAUCUCGCGCGUACACUGUAAACAAGUGUAUAAAAGAUUGGUAACUGGGACUCCCUGGCAUGCCACGCUGCAAACUGGUGCAGAUACAAUAGAAUCCACAUUUUCUGAAUGAUGUCAGAUAUAUAUUCCACACAACUACUGAAGAUGAUGUGUGUGGCUGAACAUCAACAGUCGUCGCCAGCUUGAAUAAGCACUUUGACACCGCGCUACAGGAAGCUGGACCUCAUGAACAAAGAUGAAGCGAAAUCUUCCAAGAGGAACAGCAGCAUACUGUUGCCUGAGUCUGGGCUUUACCAUGCUGAGCAGAAGUUUUGGAUUUUAUUAUUUGAAAGUUUUUCUCAAUCUUUACAAUGUGAAGGAGAACUGGUUUCAUCUGUCUCAAGUUCUCUUCAUGAUUUGGAAUGCCAUCAAUGAUCCACUUUUUGCACUUUUGCAGGACAACACAAAUUCUUUUUUGACAAGGACACGACGGGAGGGCAUUUUCUUCACAGCACCUCUUUUUGCUAUGUCCUACAUGAUUGCAUGGCUGCCCUUUGGACAGAGUGACUGGGCAGUAGGCAUUCAUUUGAUUGCUGCUCUCUGCAUUUAUGAUACCCUGUACACAUUUAUUGGACUUCUGUCCUGUUGUCUAUUUACUGAACUGAAUGUUUGCCAAACUGACAGACUUCUUCUUACAAGAUAUUCAACUAUAACAAGUCUCAUAGGAUCCCAGAGCAUCUUUUUGCUUGAAUUUUCUUCAGACAGUUUGAGAGAUUUUACAGCAUUUCAGGCUACUUCGCUUGGUAUUUCUGUUGUGGCAAGCUUGCUGAUGAUGUAUGCUGGACUUCAUGCUCACACAACGUAUGAUAUUGAAGCUAAAGUUACAUUCCCUGCAGAGGAAACCUGCAAAGACCCUGGUACAGAGAAUCAAGAGUCAUUCUUCAGAAACACUGUGCAAAUUCUACGAGAAAAGAAUUUUAUUGCUUUUGUUGUCACCAACUUUUUUCAAGAAUUCCAUAAGGCAUACCUGUCAGGUUUCACAGCCAUCUUUUGUGACCAUCUUAUCCCAAAGUCUCAAGUUCCUGUGAGUGUCCGAAGCAUUUUUUACGGAUUGACAGGCACGUUAGGAGGGGAGCUUUGCAAUUGCAACCUUUUCCUUGUUUAACCUACCGCUGGCGGACAUUGCUGACCAUGACAAAGAAAAGUAUAACCGCAGGAGAGUUGUUAACGACCUCGCCGCCAUAGCAGUCGUGACUGUUACUUGAAGGUCAGAUUGGUUAUGUCUUUGUCAGUCAUGGCUGAAGAAAAGUAUGAAAUGAAGACUGCACCUUUUGACUCACGUUUUCCUAAU